CACAGCCUGCGGCUGUCUGAGACGUCGUCUGCUCUGGGCUCGACUUGGAGCAGGAAGUUUGGGAACUGAGAGGCACAGACAUAGAUGAGAUGCGGGGAGCGCAUUUGAAGACAUCUACAUCCCAUCAGAUGAGAGAGCCCUCAUCCAUCAUAAUCCGUGUUCCCUGGAAGGAGGCGUGUCCAGCAUUUCCUAUUCCAGCCAGGCCCCUUGUCAGCGUGUGAGACAUUGUCAAGAAUGCCCCCCACUCCUUGGAAGGAGAGUCUUUGGUAGUCUGGCCUGAAGGCUCUGGACUGAGUGAGACAAAUAGGUUGCUAAUAAUGUCUGUAAACUCUGGACCCCAUUUCCCGACAUUAAAAACUUCAUCUAAAAAGUCUGAGUGAUAUUUACAAAUAGGAGCCUGCCCCCUUGUCCCCAGCUCUUUUUAGUCUGUGACAAAUAGGUC
rnacentral:lncRNA from 1 species